UACGGAGGGUGCAAGCGUUAUUCGGAAUUACUGGGCGUAAAGCGCGCGUAGGCGGCUCACUAAGUCUGGUGUGAAAUCCCUGGACUCAAUCCAGGAAGUGCAUUGGAUACUGGUGGGCUGGAGUAUGGGAGAGGAGAGCGGAAUUCCUGGUGUAGAGGUGAAAUUCGCAGAUAUCAGGAGGAACAACAGAGGCGAAGGCGGCUCUCUGGACCAUAACUGACGCUGAGGCGCGAAAGCGUGGGGAGCAAACAGG
rnacentral:rRNA from 1 species